UGGUGUGAGCAGGUCACGUGUGGUGCAGCGUGAUAGUGGAAUAUGCUGCAUCGCGUGUGACCUCCCUACACCGC
rfam:Ornithorhynchus anatinus chromosome X1, whole genome shotgun sequence.